UACGGGGGGGGCAAGCGUUGUUCGGAAUUACUGGGCGUAAAGGGCUCGUAGGCGGCCAACUAAGUCAGACGUGAAAUCCCUCGGCUUAACCGGGGAACUGCAUCUGAUACUGGAUGGCUUGAGAUUGGGAGAGGGAUGCGGAGUUCCAGGUGUAGCGGUGAAAUGCGUAGAUAUCUGGAGGAACACCGGUGGCGAAGGCGGCAUCCUGGACCAAAUCUGACGCUGAGGAGCGAAAGCCAGGGGAGCAAACGGG
rnacentral:rRNA from 1 species